rnacentral:rRNA from 1 species
UCAGGAAGAAAGCUUGCUUUCUUUGCUGGCGACCGGCGCACGGGUGAGUAACACGUAUCCAACCUGCCCUUUACUCGGGGAUAGCCUUUCGAAAGAAAGAUUAAUACCCGAUAGCAUAAUGACUCCGCAUGGUUUCAUUAUUAAAGGAUUCCGGUAAAGGAUGGGGAUGCGUUCCAUUAGGUUGUUGGUGAGGUAACGGCUCACCAAGCCUUCGAUGGAUAGGGGUUCUGAGAGGAAGGUCCCCCACAUUGGAACUGAGACACGGUCCAAACUCCUACGGGAGGCAGCAGUGAGGAAUAUUGGUCAAUGGGCGUUAGCCUGAACCAGCCAAGUAGCGUGAAGGAUGAAGGCUCUAUGGGUCGUAAACUUCUUUUAUAUAAGAAUAAAGUGCAGUAUGUAUACUGUUUUGUAUGUAUUAUAUGAAUAAGGAUCGGCUAACUCCGUGCCAGCAGCCGCGGUAAUACGGAGGAUCCGAGCGUUAUCCGGAUUUAUUGGGUUUAAAGGGAGCGUAGGUGGACUGGUAAGUCAGUUGUGAAAGUUUGCGGCUCAACCGUAAAAUUGCAGUUGAUACUGUCAGUCUUGAGUACAGUAGAGGUGGGCGGAAUUCGUGGUGUAGCGGUGAAAUGCUUAGAUAUCACGAAGAACUCCGAUUGCGAAGGCAGCUCACUGGACUGCAACUGACACUGAUGCUCGAAA